rnacentral:rRNA from 1 species
GAUGAACGCUGGCGGCGUGCUUAACACAUGCAAGUCGAACGGUGAAGCAGGAGCUUGCUCUUGUGGAUCAGUGGCGAACGGGUGAGUAACACGUGAGCAACCUGCCCCUGACUCUGGGAUAAGCGCUGGAAACGGCGUCUAAUACUGGAUAUGCGAUGUGACCGCAUGGUCUGCAUCUGGAAAGAAUUUCGGUUGGGGAUGGACUCGCGGCCUAUCAGCUCGUUGGUGAGGUAAUGGCUCACCAAGGCGUCGACGGGUAGCCGGCCUGAGAGGGUGACCGGCCACACUGGGACUGAGACACGGCCCAGACUCCUACGGGAGGCAGCAGUGGGGAAUAUUGCACAAUGGGCGGAAGCCUGAUGCAGCAACGCCGCGUGAGGGAUGACGGCCUUCGGGUUGUAAACCUCUUUUAGCAGGGAAGAAGCGAAAGUGACGGUACCUGCAGAAAAAGCACCGGCUAACUACGUGCCAGCAGCCGCCGCCG